UCUCCCAAUCUCCCAUUUCAUCUCUCUUUAAGUCCAGGAUUGUGAGGGAUUUCACAAUUUGCUCCAAUACCAAUGGGCUUGGUCUGCGAUCGAAUGCUAUAAAAGAUAUGUGCCCCCUCAUCCUUCACCAAUUGGUGGUUGGAUGGAUUGGUAAGGCACA